GAAUUUUCCNNAAGGGCGAAACCUGACGGAGUAAUACCGCGUGCGGGAGGAAGGUCUUUUGAUUGUAAACCUCUUUUNUCAAGGAAGAAUUUNGACGGUACUUGAUGAAUAAGCCUCGGCUAACUCCGUGCCAGCAGCCGCGGUAAUACGGAGGAGGCAAGCGUUAUCCGGAAUUAUUGGGCGUAAAGGGUCCGUAGAUGGUUUUGUCAGUCUGCUGUCAAAGCCCGUGGCUCAACCACGGAAAGGCGGUGGAAACUACAAGACUAGAGUGCAGUAGGGGCAGAGGGAAUUCCCAGUGUAGCGGUGAAAUGCGUAGAGAUUGGGAAGAACACCCGUGGCGAAAGCGCUCUGCUGGACCGCAACUGACAUUGAGGGACGAAAGCUAGGGGAGCGAAUGGGAUUAGAUACCCCAGUAGUCCUAGCCGUAAACGAUGGAUACUAGAUGUUGUCUGUAUCGACCCAGACAGUGUCGUAGCUAACGCGUUAAGUAUCCCGCCUGGGGAGUACGC
rnacentral:rRNA from 1 species